rnacentral:rRNA from 1 species
GAUGAACGCUGGCGGCGUGCUUAACACAUGCAAGUCGAACGAGAAGUGAAGACGGAAACCUUCGGGCGGAAGGCUUUAAUUCGAGUGGCGGACGGGUGAGUAACGCGUGGGUAACCUGCCUCAUACAGGGGGAUAACAGUUGGAAACGACUGUUAAUACCGCAUAAGACCACAGCACCGCAUGGUGCGGGGGUAAAAACUCCGGUGGUAUGAGAUGGACCCGCGUUCGAUUAGCCAGUUGGCGGGGUAACGGCCCACCAAAGCGACGAUCGAUAGCCGAUCUGAGAGGAUGACCGGCCACAUUGGGACUGAGACACGGCCCAAACUCCUACGGGAGGCAGCAGUGGGGAAUAUUGCACAAUGGGGGAAACCCUGAUGCAGCGACGCCGCGUGAGUGAAGAAGUAUUUCGGUAUGUAAAGCUCUAUCAGCAGGGAAGAAAAUGACGGUACCUGAGUAAGAAGCCCCGGCUAACUACGUG